rnacentral:rRNA from 1 species
GUAGGGAAUAUUGGGCAAUGGAGGCAACUCUGACCCAGCCAUGCCGCGUGCAGGAAGACGGUCCUCUGGAUUGUAAACUGCUUUUGAAUGGGAAGAAACGUAGCUUUGCGAAGCUAUUUGACGGUACUAUUAGAAUAAGCACCGGCUAACUCCGUGCCAGCAGCCGCGGUAAUACGGAGGGUGCAAGCGUUAUCCGGAUUUAUUGGGUUUAAAGGGUGCGUAGGCGGCUUUAUAAGUCUGGGGUUAAAGGCGGCAGCUUAACUGUACGCAUGCCCUGGAAACUGUGAAGCUUGAGUGACUUGGAGGUAGCUAGAAUUCCCUGUGUAGCGGUGAAAUGCAUAGAUACGGGGAGGAAUACCGAUUGCGAAGGCAUGUUACUACGAGUAAACUGACGCUGAUGCACGAAAGCGUGGGGAUCAAACAUGAUUAGAUACCCCUGUAGUCC